rnacentral:rRNA from 1 species
UACGGAGGAUGCGAGCGUUAUCCGGAUUUAUUGGGUUUAAAGGGUGCGUAGGCGGUUUAUUAAGUUAGUGGUUAAAUAUUUGAGCUAAACUCAAUUGUGCCAUUAAUACUGGUAAACUGGAGUACAGACGAGGUAGGCGGAAUAAGUUAAGUAGCGGUGAAAUGCAUAGAUAUAACUUAGAACUCCGAUAGCGAAGGCAGCUUACCAGACUGUAACUGACGCUGAAGCACGAGAGCGUGGGUAGCGAACAGG